CGCAAAUGUAAGAACAACACCCAGGUGAUUGGAUUUCAAUAGCUUAAACGGUGACGUCAAAACCCCCUUGCCAGAAGCCCUCGCUCGCAAAAUGUUCUCACGAUCUUCCUUUCCAGACAUCAUAUCAAUAGAGACGAUAUGGGAAACUGUUUGUUGUGAAAAUAUGACAGGCGCAUAUUCAUCUUGAUCAGGAGCAGGAUCCAAGUUUGCAGGGAUAUAAUCAUGUCCUAAAGUUUGG
rnacentral:misc_RNA from 1 species